ensembl:snoRNA
UGUGUCAUCUUUGUUCAUUGGGUGGAAGAGAGCAAGGGGCUAUGUCUACACUCUGUUCUGAAACCCAUGAGCACUCAGAGUGGUUAAUAGCCUGACAUUG